GCGGGUGUGGUGGAACAGGCAGACACAGCGGUCUUAAAAUCCGCUGGUGGAAACACCAUGAGGGUUCGAUCCCCUUCACCCGCA
rnacentral:tRNA from 1 species